rnacentral:rRNA from 1 species
UACGUAGGGGGCUAGCGUUGUCCGGAAUCAUUGGGCGUAAAGCACAUAUAGGCGGUUCGGUAAGUCCGCUGUGAAAGUCGGGGGCUCAACCCUCGAAUGCCGGUGGAUACUGUCGGGCUAGAGUGCGGAAGAGGCGAGUGGAAUUCCUGGUAUAGCGGUGAAAUGCGCAGAUAUCAGGAGGAACACCAAUUGCGAAGGCAGCGCGCUGGGACGUAACUGACGCUGAGACGCGAAAGCGUGGGGAGCAAACAGG